AGUCACUGACAUUAGAUACCCCCGUAGUCCCAGCCGUAAACUAUGCUCGCUAGGUGUCAGGCACGGCGCGACCGUGUCUGGUGCCGCAGGGAAGCCGUGAAGCGAGCCACCUGGGAAGUACGGCCGCAAGGCUGAAACUUAAAGGAAUUGGCGGGGGAGCACAACAACGGGUGGAGCCUGCGGUUUAAUUGGACUCAACGCCGGACAACUCACCGGGGACGACAGCAAUAUGUAGGCCAGGCUGAAGACCUUGCCUGAAUCGCUG
rnacentral:rRNA from 1 species